AAAACCAAAUCGACAGCCACAACCGAGUUUACAAAUUCUAUUAAAGUAACAGUCAGGAUCAUAGUAGUAGGGCACAGAGCAAGUUGCCUCAUGGCAGGGCAUACAGGCUCGCACUUCAUUCUCACCACAGGCUAAAAGACCAAAGGAAAUGGAAGAGAUUUGAAAGGGGAUAACUCGUUUGAAUACGUACGUCCGCUUUUAUUGGUAUCGACCCCUAGUGGUUGAAGGUGCAGAAGGAUGAACACUGGCAGUGUGGCAAUGUGGAGGUGGAACACACCAAAAGUUUCCUUUGAAGCAAACAUUGCUUUUGGGGGUGAACUGAAAAUCAGAGAGGAAAUGGACUCCGCUACAAUUGCCUAUGAUUUAGUUAAGCUAAUCGAAUUGUUUUGUUCAUGGCUAUUAGUCAUGGCCUCUGGCUGAGUGGAAACACAGGCAAAAUGGGUUUGUGAUGUAGAAAAAAAUAAGUUAAAGCUAUUGAAAAAUACAAACAAAUUUUUAGACCAACUAUUUAGUUCUAAUUCACUAAAAAUCUAGCAAAUUUAGUUCAUGAAAUGCUUUAGACGCUACAAAAGCAUUAGGUUGACCGCUCGUUAUUGCUACCGCAAACUAGAUUCAGUCAUUUUGGCUUGCAUAACCCUAAAACAUCACUUUAGUUGACUGCAUUUUAUCGUCUUAAACUGUCAUCAGACAUAUACUGGAAGCAGAGCGAAACAGCCAAUUGGAGGGAGGGGCAAGAGAGUGAUGGUGAGCACAAUUGGCUAGCCAGAGGGCUAUUCAAAUAUUCAACAUUUUGGGGGCAGCUGAUUUGAUUUUAGCUUUUGUUUGGUAAAUGUUCGCACUUUAAUCAAAAAGCAAGAGAGAAAUCAACAACAACAGAACCGGAAAAAGUCUCCCUGGCUAAGCUGCUAAGCGUUCUAUACCCCAUGGACAUUUGUCUUUUCAAAGGCUAAGGGCAUACAAAAAGCACUUAGGGCAUUACUCAUACGCCCAGUUGUUUAUUUGUUUGCUUGAAGUCUAUGGAGUGCCCCUAGCUGGCCACUUGAACGUUCACGUAAUUUAGAUUUUCAGUCUGGUCAAAAGUAAUUGAAACUGAAAAGUCAACUGCAACUCAACUACUGCUAAACUUAGUCAACUAUGUGGAUUUUGUGCGCAUUCUCUAUAUCCUAGACCACUGCUAAAUGCAUCCUGCCCAAAACCAUCCAAUUAUAAUUUAAUUAAAUUCUAAGCACUUUAUACAUUGCUAAAGACAAAGGCCAGAAAAUAUUUGGUUCAGUAUCUAGAGCAAUGUCACAUCCGAAAAUGCCAGACACGUUCUGUGUGUUGGUUUUUGCAUAUUUUGUUGUUGCUGUUGUUGCUAUUCAAAAUGUGAAACAAUAUGCCACAACAAUGAAGCGAGUCGUGCAGCAACUCGUGCAACGAGGCGUAUGAGCGUUGACUACCGUAAAAGAAGCAGAUUGGGUGGCGCAAAAGGAAAGGCUACAGGCAAGAAGAGAGAGAAGAUUUUGUGUCAAUGUGUUCGCUUGGCUUAUUAUGCCAUUGCAUGCCAUACCGCAACAAAUCAUGACAAAUGACAACAAGUUGGCUUGCACCCACAUGCCCCCACCCGCAGUCCCCAAACACACGCAAACCUCAUGUUAAUAGUGAAAAAAACCAAAAACAAAAUUGUUCUACACUUGUAAAAAAUCUAAAGAUCAUUAAACAUCGAUCUACUUAUAACUGAAAUGAAA